ACAGAGUUGUGAAACCAUCACCACUAUCUAAUUUUAGAACAUUCUUGUCACCCCAAAAAGAAACUCUGUGCCCAUUAAUAGUCAUUCUCCAUUUUCCCACCCUGAGCCCUAGGCAACUACUAAUCUACUUUCUGUCUCUAUAGGUGUGUCUAUUCUGGACAUUUCACAUAAGUAGAAUCAUACAAGGUGUGGUCUCUUGUGUCCGGCUUCUUUCACUUAGCAAAGCGUUUUUAAGCUCUCUCCAAUCUCCAGGACCUCAGAGGCCCCCAGCGGGGAGACAGAGACUGAAAGAGGACCGAGCACAGCGAGCCCAGGGCUGCAGGGACAAUGGGAGGAAGACUGUGACAGGCGGAAGCUAUGGAACCCCCAGGUCCCAGAGGCCCCACGACCCACACCAGCCCAUCUCCUCCUAGGAAGUGAUGCUGCUGCUGCUUCUGCUUCAUUCAUUCGGUCAGCCAGCCAGUCAAUGUUUAUCGCGCACGUCUAUAUGUCAGGCACCAGACACAGGAAGAAACACCAUAGUCUCCGUAGCUUACAGCCCUUGAUUUACCAAGCAAUAAAGGGACCCCUUAGUUAAUAAUCUACAUCAAACUGCUGUUCCACUUCAGAUGACCAGAAACUUCUCAACCUUCUCUGGGCCCUCCUUAGAGAUCUGCCGAGGUGCCUGGCCAUCUUGUCCAUCCACAGCACGAACCCAGGCUUGGCUCCUGAAGGCCAGACGCCUGGUCCAGCCUCUCCACCCUGAACAGUGGGGAGGCUCUGGGCCAGGCAGGCCAGCCCAGAACACCUGCCACCUCCCCCAGCUCCUUCUGCCAUCAGUGACAGGCCACGCACAGAGGACAGGAGGCCACUGCCUUGUGUACCUUGGGGUCUAAAGAGAGGCUGCCACAGGUGGCAGGCAGCUCACCAACAUUCUUCGUCAAGUACUCAGCACACUGGUACAGCCCUGGGUUUGGUCUGUGUUGAGAAGAAUCUUGGCCCUCAAACCCAGAGGCCAACCCUGUCACAGAGUGGCCUUGGCUCCAGUGAACGCAGGGAUCUGCUCCUGAGGGGCUGUGAGGCUGCGGGAGGCCAGCAGCACCUGGCAGUGGGGCUGAGCCCAGAGCCUUCUUCCUCCUCCUCCCUUCUUCACCCCCUGCACUACCCGCAGGCCUGGGUCCCUCUUGGUCCCUGGGCCUCAAGCCUCUGGGGGUUCAGUCUGCCGAGGGGCUUACUGGGCUGAAAAUAGCAAAGGGAUCCAUGCUCAAGGCAACCUUUUAAACUGCACUCUGAGCUGCUUCUAAGAUGAAGACGAGAAGCUGGUGGAUCUGGAGCCAUGGCAGGGAGAGGCCGGAGCCUGGAGUCUGUGCUGGACACGGGAGGAGAGCCCCAGUCCUGGGGAAGUGAGGCCGCCAAGAGGACAAGCUGGUGGUCUGCCCUCAGCUGAGGCCUCCAUCCUCUGGCUGUGCAGCUCCUCCAGCCCUGGCCCCCACCAUUCAACCCUGAGGACUCAAAUAGGACUCCGACAUGGCCUGCCUUCUCUCACGGGUGGAGGCUGACCUAGGCAUGGGUGCUUUCUAAGAGCAAGUGCCACCUGGGUGCCUGGGCUCUGUCCCAGGUGUUUUGUGUUGUGGAUGCAGGUGGGGUGGGGCCUGCAUUUGAGUAGGUCCUGGAGGGUGUGUUGAAGACAAG
ensembl:lncRNA